AUCUGUUUUAGAACUAUUUGAUGCUUUAAUCAUUGUUGUAGUUAGAUAACUGUUGCAAUAGGGUGUUUUAUCACAAUGAUUGCCUGAACCGUUGCAUAGAAUCACUAUGGCAACGCUUUAUUAGGAAAAUAUAAGCUAUUACAAUGCUUUAUUAUUUUAUUCCACCAAAAAUAAACCCUUUUACACAUAUAAUAGCAAUCCUUUUACAUCACAACAGCAAUCAAAACACACCCACAUUUUAGUCUUCCCUUUCCCCUUCUUCUUAAUCCGAUUCUCAGUAACUUCAUAAACCCUACCUUUUUAAAUAUUGUAGUAAUUUGUAGACCGGCAUUGCAACUGUUCUAGUAAUUUGUAGAAUUAGACGAAGCUUUUUCACAUUUGGGUUUUCUCUAAUUGCUGGAGAAGAUGCCGAACCUUGUACAGAACAUUGGAUUAAUUUGUAGACCGCCACUGCUACAGCUCUGACCAAAAAGUUCUUUUCUCCGACAUUGUUAUUGGCUCAAUCCAUUCCCAACUCGGAAUGCUUCAAGAAGUCGGAAAGUGCGACCAUCGUACUUCAAUUUUGAAGCUGCUCCGACUUUAAUUUCUGAGAAAAUUUGGAAUUUUCUUCUUUAAUUUGGUGAUUUUAAGGAUAUAAUGCUGAGAGAUUAAGUUGAUCAAACAUCAAAAACAAACAAGAAAGGGCGUGCUCUACAAUCCCAUAUUUCAAUUGCUUUUAUUAAAAAAUAUUUUAUCCCAAAAUUAGAAUUAUUUGGUGUUAAUUCAAAUUUAGUUAAAUUUUAUUACAGACCGCUUAUGAUACUCUCUAAGAGUAACCACUUAAUCUUACUUAAUCCAGUGAACUUCCCUACUGAUUAUUUGGCUAAUGUACGUUAAUGCUUCCUCAUAUCUCUUCCCAGACAUACACAUCCCAUUUUGUACCUCAGAAAGUUCACAAAUUUCAGUAUCAUAUUAAGAGGGAAGACCGUUGAGCAGUAUAAUAUUGUUGAUGAUUUAAAGCUCACAAAAAUAAUCACGUAAAAGCCACAGCUUGCUGGAACAUCAAAGGAGGUUUUCUUAGCCAUUCUAGAAAGUUACUGCAGAUGGUUCUUUUAAAAGAAAUGGUGUUGUUGGUGUUCUGGAAGCAAAUUUCAUAGAACCUGUGCAUGACGAGCAAGAUUUUUAAUGAUCAUCUCUGUUUUUCAAGUCAACAUUGACAAAAGAGAACAGUUCACUUCAGGUCAUAUUUACCAACAGAAAGGAAAGAGCGGAGCUGCUAGAAGGCUUGGUGGUGAGCAACAAAGAAGAAACUAUUCUAAAUUUUCCACAGUCAACUGGGUGAAAAGACUGCAUUUCAUGGCAUAGAUAGGGCUGGCCAUCUGGUUCACCUAGAACGGCCUUGCGUUUACAAGUGUCUCAAGCAGUUCCUUACUUCCCUGCAUGCAAAAAGAGUUCAAAAGUGAAGGACGUACCAUAAAGUUCACUAUCUAAUAUCAUUUGUCUAUGGAAAAGAAAACAACUUCGUCUUUUCUCUGUAACAUUAGUUACUAUGUAAUUUGGGGUUCAAAAUUUGAAAUUUCUGUCUUAAUGCAAAUGUAUACAGAUAUUUGUUGCAUAUUUUAAUUUGGAUUAUUAUUAAUGGAAUAUUUUGUUGUGGUGUA